AACCACUACUUCCCCGUGCGAAACAUCGAGUCUUGUUUCCGAGAGUGCGGAGAUAUUUCCCUUGUUUGAGAGAUGGCAAUGGUCCUGGAUUCAUUUGUUUCAAGAUGCAUUGAACAAGUGACAGGCUUUCUUGAGGGAGAGAUAUGCAAAGUGGUGGGCGUGAAGAAGGAGAUCAAGACGCUACAGGAGAAGCUGGAGACGAUCAAAUGUUACCUCGAAAGUGCAGAGCGGAAAAGCCGUGGGGAUCCCGGCAUCGAGGCCUGGGUGAGGAAGCUGAAAGACAUCAUGUACGAUGCCGACGACAUCAUCGAUCUGUGCAUGAUGGACGGUGGCAAACUGUUGGUGGCUGGGGGAUCAGCAUCGGCUUCGGGGGUAGGGUGAUUCCCUUUGGGGAUUAGCAGGCCGUCAGACGUGGCGGUUGGACGGUUGCUCCAUCCGUUGUUGAGAGGAACAUGUCCCUACUUUGGCGGGUGAGGGACAACACUCCAUCCACUGUUGGGAGUGCGAUAUGAGUUUGCCUUCAUCCCCUAUUGGAAGAAUACAAACUCAUCUCGUAUGAUAAAGCCUCUCCAUCCGCUGUUGGGGGAGUACUUCUUCGGAUAUUUAAUAUAUGUCAAUAUGAUGAUUGAAUUUUGAUCGUGUAUACAUUUUGAGUUAACUUUUGGAGUUCUUACUCAAUGUUGCUGAAUUUUUUUUAUUUUUAUAAUAACAUUCCUCUAGCACUAAAUCGGAUUCUAGUGGAGAGCGGAUCUUCAUCUAUCGCUAGGUAGAACCACUUGGAUUAUUCUUGAAGUUAACAUCACUAUAUUUAAUUUUCUACUUAUGAUUUGAUGAAUAAAAUAUAAUAAAUAUUUAUAAAUAAAAUAAAAAUAAUAUUUAUCUACUUCUAUGUAGAAAGAUAUUAAAAAAAAAAAUUUACUGUUUCCUCAGCAUCACUUACUAUUGGGAGUCUCGUACAGUCUAAAAAUUCGUAGUUCACAUCAGCUAUUGCAUCCUGCAGACGUUGGCGUUCUGUCGAAAUGUCAAUGCUUGCUGAUAUUUUAAUUGGAUGAUAUAUUGCACUGGUUUUUUAUUGUCUUUUUAAAUAUCUGAGUCUUGCUUAAUGAUGUUAAAUUUUCUGAUGAAUGAUCUAAUCUGAUGUCCGUCUUUGAGGUCACUUUCAUACGUACGUAAUUGAGCAAUAAUUGAAGGCAUAUUAUGUAGAUUAGGUGGUUCAAGAUAAUAAAUACAUGUUGACUAUACCCACGGGUUCUACUUAAAUCACAGAUGGGUGAAGAAUCAUUCCAAGAAUAGUCAACAAGAGGAUGUGACUGUGUGCAUUAGACGUCUGCCAUUAAAUUUUAGAACCAUGUUUCUUGCACGCAAUAGUAUUGCUUGUCGUUGUGAAUUAAAUAGAUAAUGCUACUUGAUUUUAGUACCAUGUAGAACGUUAGCUAAUAGCUACCGGAAACCAUGUUGGAUUAUAUAUAUAGAAGUUCUCACAUUCACGGAUGGCGGCUUCGACUAAUAAGACGCCAAACAAACUAUUUGUCGCAUCAUAUAACAUCUUGUGGUUUGUGUUCCACAAUUUAACUCCAAAAUUUACGAUGGUUUUUUUUCUUUUUCAUUUAAUCCCUACACGGUUUGAAAAAUGAAAUUUGUUAGCACACUUCAACAAAUAAUUGUUCUAAAUUUGUUAGUACAUUCGAAAACAAUGGCUCUUAAUGCCUUUAGUAUCCUAAUAGGUGUUCACAUAUAUACCAAUAUAAUUCAGGGCAAGUUUUAUGUUCUGUAGGUAUAUGCAUGUACUAAAUUUGAUAGAUUGGUGGAGUCCAUUGAAACUAUGCACCAACUGUUUGUGUUGGGAUUUACAAUAUAUAUUGUACCCGAUGAGAGUAUUAGUAAACAAAUAUGAUUGGCCAAUUGGAGACUCAACAGGCAAAGCCAAGUUAUCCAAAAAAAAAAAAAAGACAAAAGAAUGAUGAGAGAAAAUAUUUCCUCUAACUACAUACAGCGAGGUAUUUUUUUAAGUUCCCACUUGGAUCUGAUGUAUCUAUGAUAUCAUCUGAGGUAUUUUUUUAAAUUGAAUGUUACUGAGAUCUUAGUCGAA